CCUGCUUCAUACAGUAUAAAUUAAUAUGAGCAGCACACUAUGAAAUAAGAUUUAUGAAGAAAUAUUAUGAAUGGAAAAACUGCAGCCAUUUAUUACCUAAGAAAACUUGUGAUUACUGAAUACGAAUUGUUUUCAGUAACUACUGUGCAUUUCCUAUAGCACAGCUAACACUGUCUCAAAGAGUGGAUAACAGCCCACAACUCCCACCCGACCUGAGAAGGAUCAGAAUAAAGAUCUGUCAAUCAAGUCAACUAAAGUUAAAGAACAAACAAAUCGCAUCCAGCAGACAAGGAAGAGUUUUAACAGAAAUCAGAAGUGGUUUAUGUCUGUCACCAAGAAGACCAAGUCAAUUCCUGUGCUGGAAUAAAUGGAUUAUGAUGUUACCCAUCCCUAUCUAACCGAUAAAGAUGUCAAAUUCUCUUCAGUUGAUCUUCAGAAUCGGACAGACAAUUGGAUUAUUCAAUGACUGCCAGUUCAUGCCAGAGUUUAUGUUCUGUAAGUUUAAAAUGUGUGUGUCAACUCUGUUCAAGAUUGUAACUGACUCACUUCUCAUUAAUAUAACCAUUGGAGCCUCUAGAUUUUCUGUAGACAGCUUCAAAUUCAAUUCCAACUUCCAAAUUCAAGCCAAAUUUGCUGAAAUAUUAACUCAGUUUCUCCCUUUACAGGUGCUGUCGGAGAUUAGUAUUUUUUAACUGGUGUCAUUGGAAUAGCUGUUGGCCAACAUUCCCUUUAGGUACUGCAGUAUACUAAUACUUCUUAGUCUCUCAUGCACAUAGUUCUCACAACAUUUAUGUUCAUGCAACCUCUAUUAUAAUUACUUUAAUCUGCACAGCAAUAUUUUGCCACCCAGUUUAGAAAAAAGCAGAAACAAUCCCAUGCCAUACCUAACUAAUGAGAGAUGCAACAGAUCUUCUUUAUAGUGCAGAGACAUGUUACAGGUGACUGGAGUUUAUGUGAAGCCUGGGGAGUGGAAAGAUGUUUAGUUUUAAGAAUUGAAAUCCGUCAUCUUGUUCAAAGGAAUAUCAGCCAUUAUGAUUUAACGUGGA